AUUGAACGCUGGCGGCAGGCCUAACACAUGCAAGUCGAACGAGUGGCGGACGGGUGAGUAAUUUCUUGGCAACUGCCUGAUGGAGGGGGAUAACUACUGGAAACGGUAGCUAAUACCGCAUACCAUCGGAUGUGCCCAGAUGGGAUUAGCUAGUAGGUGGGGUAAAGGCUCACCUAGGCGACGAUCCCUAGCUGGUCUGAGAGGAUGACCAGCGACACUGUAACUGAGACACGGGCCAGACUCCUACGGGAGGCAGCAGUGGGGAAGAUUGCACAAUGGGCGGAAGCCUGAUGCAGCCAUGCGGCGGGUAUGAAGAAGGCCUUCGUGUUGUAAAGUACUUUCAGCGGGGAGGCGUUACCCGCAGAAGAAGCCCCGGCUAACGCCGAUCCAGCAGCCGCGGUAAUAC
rnacentral:rRNA from 1 species